rnacentral:tRNA from 1 species
UAGAGAAUAGUAUAAGAGGUAGUACAAAGAGUUUUGGGCUCUGUGGUGCAGGUUCAGUUCCUGUUUUUCUAAA